rnacentral:rRNA from 1 species
UACGUAGGGUGCUAGCGUUGUUCGGAAUCAUUGGGCGUAAAGCGCGUGCAGGCUGUUAGUUAAGUCGGGUGUGAAAUCCCUCGGCUCAACCGAGGAAGUGCAUCCGAAACUAACUAGCUAGAGAAUGGUAGAGGAAGGUGGAAUUCCUAGUGUAGAGGUGAAAUUCGUAGAUAUUAGGAGGAAUACCGGUGGCGAAGGCGGCCUUCUGGACCAUUUCUGACGCUGAGACGCGAAAGCGUGGGGAGCAAACAGG